UGUCGUGAGAUGUUGGGUUAAGUCCCGCAACGAGCGCAACCCUUUUCCUUACUUGCCAGCAUUUCGGAUGGGAACUUUAAGGAUACUGCCAGUGACAAACUGGAGGAAGGCGGGGACGACGUCAAGUCAUCAUGGCCCUUACGGCCAGGGCUACACACGUGCUACAAUGGUCGGUACAAAGGGUUGCUACACAGCGAUGUGAUGCUAAUCUCAAAAAGCCGAUCGUAGUCCGGAUUGGAGUCUGCAACUCGACUCCAUGAAGUCGGAAUCGCUAGUAAUCGCGGAUCAGAAUGCCGCGGUGAAUACGUUCCCGGGCCUUGUACACACCGCCCGUCACACCAUGGGAGUUUGUUGCACCAGAAGUAGCUAGCCUAACUGCAAAGAGGGCGGUUACCACGGUGUGGCCGAUGACUGGGGUGAAGUCGUAACAAGGUAGCCGUAGGGGAACCUGCGGCUGGAUCACCUCCUUA
rnacentral:rRNA from 1 species